rnacentral:rRNA from 1 species
AUGUUUUUGGCUUUCUUAGUACCGAAGGAGAAAAAGCAACCAAAAAAAUACCAGUUAGUUUUGUUAGCAAGAAAAAUGUACCUAUACUGGGAGAAGGUGCAACCAAUCACCGGUCCAAAAAAUGAUCUGUUGGCAUUGUUGAGCCCGCUGAUGAGGAACUGGACGGAAGAUAUGGCUGUGAGAAGAGACAAAUACGACUAUGAAUAUGGUUGUGGUGUUGGGAUGAUCGAUGACAACAUUACAGAGGAGUAUAGACUGAAAAAAUUGCAGAAGAAGAAGCUCAAAAAACCAAGAAAGCUAGUAGCAAAAAGUCUAAUGUUACUGGAACGAGAAAAGAGGGCAGUACCUUGGAGGCUUCGAGCCAGAAGCCUACUAUGGACCGGAUUUUGA